rnacentral:rRNA from 1 species
AAGUGGAGCAAUCCAUGAGUAAAGUGGCGACCGGGUGAGUAACACGUGACUAACCUACCUUCGAGUGGGGGAUAACCUAGGGAAACCUGGGCUAAUACCGCAUAACAUCUUUGGAUCGGAAGAACUGGAGAUCAAAGGAGCAAUUCGCUUGAAGAGGGGGUCGCGGCUGAUUAGCUAGUUGGCGGGGUAAUGGCCCACCAAGGCUUUGAUCGGUAGCCGGCCUGAGAGGGCGCACGGCCACACUGGAACUGAAACACGGUCCAGACUCCUACGGGAGGCAGCAGUGGGGAAUUUUGCGCAAUGGGGGAAACCCUGACGCAGCAACGCCGCGUGGAGGAUGAAGUCCCUUGGG